rnacentral:lncRNA from 1 species
GAAGAGAAAAGCUCUCAUGUUGUUCUUGGCCGAAUAGGAGAAAGAAAAAGAAGGAAAAAGAGCUUUGAGGAAAUCGGCUAUGGUGGUUUGAUAGACUAAGGUAUGCUUGAUGAUGUUCCAUGAGAUGCAUGCAUGUUUUAGUAGUUAGCUUGAGUUCUAAAUAGCCCAUGGUUCAAAUCUUUACUAUGUCAUGGAGAUGAU